UCCUUCCAGCUCACCAAAGCUGAGAUGUUGCUCCUGCUCGGGCCGCACCAGGACGGCCGCCCUCUGGCCGGUGAGUCCGCAAGAGACGUUGACGAAGACCGGUGCUGCCCUCCGGUGGAGGGAGAGUGGGCUUCAGUUCCCAGAAUCCCCCAGGGCAGCAAAUCUGGCUGGAGAAUUCUGGGAGCCUGAAGUCCAUCCAUUUUGAGAACUUAAGAAGACACCCGAGGUUGAGUUAGAUUGAAGCAGGGAUGGGUGAAGAAACAUCUCCAGAUGUUGGAUUUCAAGUCUUUUUAUCGGUGCCCUGAGCCAUGAUGCUGGGAAUUAUAACUCGGUCGUUACGUCAAGAGGUCAACACUCUGGACUUCGGCUCCCAGAAUGCCACGGGUGUGAACCACUGACUUUCUCCGCAUGGCCCAGGUGAUGGCACCUCCGGUCCUUCCCAGUCCCUGCCGUUUUCCUUGAAGACUUACAGACCCCUCGCAUCCUGGACAUAAACUGUUUCAACUCCUACCCUCAAAAUGAUGCUAUAGAGCACUGCACACCAGAACUAGACACAAGAACAGUUUUUUCCCAAAGGCCAUCACUCUGCUAAACAAAUAAUUCCCUCAACGCUGUCAAACUAUUUAGUGAAUCUGCACUACUAUUAAUCUUCUCAUCGUUCCCAUCACCCGUCUCCUCCCACUUAUGACUGUAUGACUGUAUCCUUAUGAUUUAUAUUGAUUGUUUCCUAGUAUGAUUCGAUUGCUUAUUUGUUCCCUAUGACUAUCAUUAAGUGUUGCACCUUAUGAUUCUUGAGGAACGUAUCUUUUCUUUUAUGUACACUGAGAGCUUAUGCACCGAGGACAAAUUCCUUGUGUGUCCCAUCACACUUGGCCAAUAAAAAAAUUCUAUUCUA